rnacentral:rRNA from 1 species
GACGAACGCUGGCGGCGUGCUUAACACAUGCAAGUCGAACGGUGAACGAGGGAGCUUGCUCCCUCCGGAUCAGUGGCGAACGGGUGAGUAACACGUGAGCAAUCUGCCCCGAACUCUGGGAUAAGCGUUGGGAACGACGUCUAAUACCGGAUACGACGCGGGAGGGCAUCCUCUCCGCGUGGAAAGAACUUCGGUUCGGGAUGAGCUCGCGGCCUAUCAGCUUGUUGGUGAGGUAACGGCUCACCAAGGCGACGACGGGUAGCCGGCCUGAGAGGGUGACCGGCCACACUGGGACUGAGACACGGCCCAGACUCCUACGGGAGGCGGCAGUGGGGAAUAUUGCACAAUGGGCGCAAGCCUGAUGCAGCAACGCCGCGUGAGGGACGACGGCCUUCGGGUUGUAAACCUCUUUUAGCAGGGAAGAAGCGAAAGUGACGGUACCUGCAGAAAAAGCACCGGCUAACUACGUG